rnacentral:misc_RNA from 1 species
GGCACUAUACCAUCUCCUUAACUCCAUAAGAAACCCACUUGAUUCAGCAGGCUGGAAAUGUCCUUUUCUCUUUCAAAGGAAAAAGUCCAAAAGGACAAAUCCCUAGAAUUCCAACAAUUUUUCUAUUAGCCAACCAGCCAUCUAACUGUCAAAACUGCUUUGUUUUGCCAGUCUAUAAUCUAGAAUCCUCUGUUAGUUCCUAGCAACCAGCUAUGAUUUCUUUCUAGCUCACCUUUCAGGACUUUGAUCGUGUAAGCCAUGUCCUUUUCUGUGCAUAUUGCUUUGAGGAUUUCAUUUGCUGCAUAUUUCGUAUUCAUUAUUUGUGACUGUUUUGAGUUUACUUUACUGUAGAGGAACCUCACAAGAAG